UGUAAGCUUACUGUUGCUCUUUUUUUACAAUUUUUGUUUGUACAUUAAAUUUCUGGCAAAUUUGUCAAUUGAAUGUCUCGUUAGUUUCAUUUUUUCAUCUCUUAACAACGGGUUAACAUGAAAUUUGGCAUCUUCUGUUUUCCUUCAGGAAAGUCAUAUCCCAAAACUUAUUACACCUGCAGAAAAGGGAAGGGAUCUAGAGGCACGGCUCAUAGAAGCUUAUAUUAUCCAGUGUCAGGCUGAAGCUCAAGAAGGUAUCCUAAAUAUUGUAAGAUUUUUCUUGUUUUUAUUUUGGAGAAAGUCUAUAUUUGCAUUUAAUUAAUCUUUUUUAAAUAAUCAGAAUUAGCUGCAAUUGAGUUUCAGUUUUUAGAAAUUUCAGGAGGAAUAAUUCUACCUUUGACAUUGAACUAGCAGGAACAGAUCUUACAACUUAAUGACUCUUUUUUUAAAGAGGAUUUUCAUUCCCUGCCAUUUCUGACAGUACAAAACUAGUUCUUUAACUCUUUGUUUCCCCAACUACCACGUUCAUUCUUUUUUCUCUUCCACUGUUUGGUUUAGUUUGAAGUCUUUAUCUUUUCAGUGGCAAGAAACAGUGGGACUUAUGUGAUAACAGGAAACAACUUUCUAAGCUUUUGGAUUUUUUCCAAAUGCCAGUGCUCUGAAAGUAUGUUUUAUAUCAAUCUACAUUGUAGUAAUUCUCUGCAGUUAACUAGUAGUUGGCUAUUGAUUUAUUUAAUGAAAUGGUAACAGAACCAACAAGCUGUGUUUUCUGUUUGUAUUUGCAUUUUCUAUUCUUUUCAUAGUAAAACUUAACAAUAAUUGUUUGAAAACCCAAAAAGAUUAUCAGACUUUCUUUUGCUAUUAAAACUGAACUUACUCUGAGUGGAAAAGAAUGUAAUUAUAGGUUCCUUUUAUUGUGUGUUGGUUUUAGUAACAAUUGCCCGAGCAAUUGAACUUAAACAUGCUCCUGGACUAAUUGCUGCACUGGCAUAUGAAACAGCCAAUUUUUAUCAAAAAGCUGGUAAGCUAAUUCUGUUGUUAUACUUUUAUUCUUUAUAUUUUCAGAUUUAUUUGCUUUUGAUUGAAUAGGAAACAGAACAAAAAGAUUCUAAGUUUUCCAUUAUUUGCAAAACUAGAAUCGUAUCUUCAUUACUUCAUUGAUGUUUAAAGAAUUAGAGUUGCUCACAGUUAAUAUGCUACAUAACUUUUAAUGGAAAGGACAGUGCUGUACUUUUUAACCAGUCAUCUAAUAACUAUAUGGUCUUUUGCUUUUAAGUUUUUGAUCUUUACUGUAAUCUUGUAAUUACUAUCCUUUCUUAGAUGAGAAACAAACCAAAGAGUUAACAUGAUCAACCCAAAACUUAACUGCUAACAGGUGGGAGGUUGAGACCAGAACACAUUUCCUCUAAUUAUCCUAUUAUUCUUUUCAUUUACUAAUUUAAGAGCUUUGCAUGUGUUUCUUUUUAUGAGAUGGUUACUAUUUUACUUGCUGAGUAGAGAUAAGUUGAAUAAAUUCACAGCUGAGGGGAGUAGACAAACAUGUAAUUAUAUUAUUGUAUCAUGAGUUUUAUGAUGAUGUUACAGCAGUGAGAUGAGAACCUCAACAGUCUGGGCAUGCUAGAGAAGGCUUUCUAGAGGAAGGUUACAUCUUAGUCUCAUUUUGAAAUAUACAUAGAACUUUUUGUUAUGUUUCUUAGAAAGCAUUAGUGUGUGAGAAUAGAACAUUUUAUGCUAUUUACAAUUUUAAGAAAGAACUUAGCACAUUUUGGCACUUUCAGACAGUUGUAGCUGAAACACAGAAUGAGUAAAACGAGAAGAGAUUGGGAAAAUACAUUUGUGUGAGAUAAAGAAGUGGUUUAUAAGCCUACCUAAAAAGUUUGGCCUUGAUUCUGUAGAUAUUUGGAAUCCAUUUUAUCUUAACCAGUGAGUCUGACUGGAUUUGAUUUGAAUUUAAGAAAGAUCUUUCUGGUUGCAGUAUGAGAUAGGCUUGCUGCAUGAAGUAGUAGGCUGACUUAGCACUUAAGAAGAAAUUCUGCCUUUGGAAAAGGAGAAAAUUUGGAAGCAACAUUAUUUAAAAUUCUUGGUCCAUAUCUAUUUUUAUCUAUGUUUUUGUCUUAAUCAUCAAAUCAAAGAAAUGCCAUGGUAUUUAACUAACCCUAUUAUGUAGCUUGAAAUAUAAUUAUGGGAAGCUAAGUCAUUUUUAAUAAAGAAGGUUUUUUAAAAUCUAUAAAUGCUUGAGUCUUAGACUUGAAUGGCAUUCUGCUUUUAGCAUGAAAAUACAUGAACUAAAAGUCUUCUAGUGAAUCAGGGUGAAAUUAUGUUUUACUUUUUAAAAUGUAACUUUAGAUCAUACUUUAUCCAGUUUGGAGCCUGCAUAUUCUGCAAAAUGGAGAAAAUAUCUUCACUUGAAAAUGUGUUUCUACACAGCUUAUGUAAGUAUUAAUAGCCCUAAAUAUGAUGUAAAUUACUCUCUUUCCAUCCCCUUAAGUGCCAGGUCUCUCAUCUUACCAAAGUCUUAGCAAUUUGCAAAUAACGAGCAGUUCUGAGUAAAUGUUCACUGACAUUGUAGCCAUUGUGAACUAACACAGGUGGAAAGAGAUGAUGUAGAAUUGUAGACCUAGAUUAUAGCAGUGGAGUUGCUGUUUGAUUCAAAACUCCCUAUAGCCUUCUAUGUGCUUAACAAAAAUUUUCUCAAGUACAGUUGACUAAGUCUAGUCUUAAGGCAUAUCAUAUACUAUACAUAUCACCUAGAUUGGUGAACCAUUACUACACACUAUUUAUCUGCUUAUUAUACCCACCAAACUUAAUUAUUAUUUUAUUGAUUUAGUGCUAUGUGAGAGAGUCAAAACCCUUUUUUCAAGUCUAAAUAAAUGUAUUUAUUUCUUAUAGUUUAAAAUCUGUUUUUACAUUUACUACUUGGGACCACAUGUAAUCCCUGCACAUUUAAGGAGUAAACUUUCAGGCUGAUACAUUUCUUUUAAAACUUCUUUAGUCCUUAACCUCAAAACAGUAGCUCUGCAUUAGCGCAGUAAUUUCCUCCUUUAUCUGCCAUGUCCUGAUUUAACAGAUUUUAACAAGUAAUUUUUGCUCUCAGGAAAUGGUUAGAAGGCUAAGUUCAGCUAAAGGCUUGAUAUAAUUCUAUCUUUUAUAUGAAUAGAGAUGGGAAAAGCUUACUCAAGUAAAGAGAUCUAGUAGAUUAUUUAUACUUAAAAGAAUGGAUAAAGGCAUUUAUCUGAAACAUGUAUAAGGAUAGGGAGAGAAUGAAUAAAAGUGUGUUUCUCUUUUUAUUAGGCUUAUUGUUAUCAUGGUCAGACUUUGUUGGCUAGUGAUAAAUGUGGUGAAGCAAUCAGGUCUCUGCAAGAAGCAGAAAAAUGUAAGUAUUCCUGUCAGAAUUUUAAUUCUUUUAUUAAAAUAGGUAUUUUACCAUAAAGGGGGAUAAAUAGGCAGUUAAGAGGUUUUGGCCAAGAUCAUGAAAGGGAAUGAGGACAGGUGAGGUAAUUGGAGGGAGAAAAAGUAUUUCAAACUUAGAAAAUGUAGAAAAUGCCCAUCUUUCCAUUAGAGUAUUAUUAUUGAUAUUUCUAUUACUCUAUGGAAGAGAAAGCAGCAGAAAUCUUAUCUUCUGAUUUAAAGCUUUUUAAGCAUAAAUAAGGAACGUUUUAUUAUUAUUAAACAGCUUUUAUUCCUUUCAUGUGCAGUAUAUGCAAAAGCAGAAGCAUUAUGUAAAGAAUAUGGAGAAACUAAAGGACCUGGACCAACAGUCAAACCAUCGGGACACUUGUUCUUUAGGAAACUUGGAAACCUUGUGAAGAAUACCCUAGAAAAAUGUCAACGAGAAAAUGGAUUUAUGUGAGACUAACUUAAUAUAUAAUAUUAACAUUAUAUCAGUUUAUAGUUAUAUUGGAAUAUUAAUUAGUAAUAUCAUGGUUUCUAUUAGUCUGUGUUCUCAAAGGGUUUAUGUUAAAGUGCACUUAAGUUUAGCAUUAUUUUUUUCUUCUUUAUAGUAGUGAUAAAGUUCAAGUGUGUAGAACCUUUUGUGGUACUGGAGAUUGAACCCAGGGGCUCUUAACCACUAAGCCACCUCCCAGCCCUUUUUAUUUGUGUUGAGAUGGAGUCUGUCUAGAUUGCUUAUAGCCUCACUAAGUUGCUGAGGUUAUCUUUGACCCUGCAAUCCUUCUUCCUCUGCUUCCUGAGCCACUGGGAUUAUAAGCAUGUGUGACUGUGCCCAGUUUAGAACCUUUUAAUUACUGAUAUGUAGCUUACUUCUUUAGGAUACUCCCAUGAUGUUCUUAUUUUCUCUGCAUGUUUUAUGCGUACCUUCCUACAAACAAACACACGCACAUACAUAUACAUAUACAACCAUACAUCUUCUCAACUCCCUUUGCAUGUUCACCUCACUCUGAUUUUGGCUACCUGUUAAGCAGGAUAAUUAAUUUUUUCCAAUCCUUCCUAUUCCUUUAAAAUAGUUUCCCUUAUUUGUGUUCAAACUGUGAACCACCACCUUCGUUGGUUUGUAGAAUCUAUCUUGUCCCUGUUUUUAAUCUCUGUACAUUUUCCUCUUUAUAUUCUGCAUAUGAUCGUUCCAAACUUUUCACUUUCUUAAACAUGUCUAGUUCACAUUUCAUCACUUCCUUUGGAAAUAGUUACUAAUCUGUGUUAAUGAUCCUCUUUGUAUUCUCAUGGCACUUUAUAUCAUAAUAGCUUCAGUUAACUCUGCAUUGUAUUUGACAAGGUUUCUUAACUUUCUCACCUACUCAUCUGUGAACUACAUGAGACAGGGAAAUCUCUGACCCCUCAUUACAUUGAUGAUUAUAUUAGGAGAUCAGUUACUGAAUAAAUGAAUGAAUCACUAUUUAAAUUGCUUUUUUGCAGUUACUUUCAAAAAAUUCCAACAGAAGCCCCACAGCUGGAACUCAAAGCAAAUUAUGGGCUGGUAGAACCCGUGCCUUUUGAAUUUCCUCCUACAAGUGCUCACUGGACACCAGAAACGCUGGCUGCAUUUGAUCUCACCAAGAGACCUAAGGAUGACAGUGUAUGAGAGAGAUUUUUCUUCUGCUCACGAAACUUUAAAAAUGCUAAUUCAGAGUUAGCAUUUUGAUGUUUUUCUCUAUUUAAAUAGAUACCUGUUUGUCUAUGUUAAAUCAGCUAAUUGUAGUGUAAUCUUUUGUAGAGCACUGUGAGAUAAAGCCUUUAGAUCCUCAGUGGCCUCUGAUUUUAAACAUACUGAAUGACAUCAACACAUUAUCUUGCCUUUUUACAACUUGUCAGUGCUUCUUCCUUAAAAGAGAGUGGGAGGAAAGAUUAUCCUUGUUUGUAUUACCACAACAAUACUCUUUUUUUCAUUUAGCAUAUUGCAGGGUAUCUAAUUCCAGCAUUCCAUGAAUCAUCCAGGAGUAAAAUACUUUUAUUCAUUUAUAUUUAAGUAAAUCUUGGUGUUCUAAAUCAAGCUCAAGAGGAAAUUUUGAGAUUUAACUGCCAGCAAACUAGAAAUCUAUGACAAAAAGAAUGGGAAUAAUUUUGCAAGAAUAGCUCCUCCCUUCAAACUGCAUUUUUUAUGUAAUUCCCUUCCCAUACUAAAAUCAUUAUUCUUUAAAAUAACGAUCUUUAUAUCCUGAUCAGACUCUUAAGAAAUAGCCUAUUACUGUCAUAAGUUCAUUCCAAACUUAGGGGUUCCAUAGGCAUAGAUUGAUUAUUCGUUUCUUCCUCGGAGAGUAUAGGUUAGGAAGACCAUUUGCUUGACUAUAGGCAAAAGUAACUGUUUCUUAAAAUGAGUUGAUUUGUAGCUUCUGGGACAGCUUGUUAUUCUCAAUGUUACUUCAUUCAGUAUUGUACCUUUUGAAAGUCUAAAGUAGAAAAGAUCUCCUGUUUGUUUUCUGAGUUUAUGUAAGUGCUUAAUAUUUUAUUUUUCCUUCUUUAGGCCAAACCUAAGCCAGAUGAAGAAGUAAAACCUGUGAAAGAACCAGAUAUCAAACCUCAAAAGGACACGGGGUGCUACAUCUCCUAAAACACAAUAUGUGCUUAGAAUUCUACAAGUAGAAGAGAAAACUGAGAACUCUACAAGUAGAAGAGAAAACUGUAGAACUUUGGUACACAUUUCUUGAAAUGAUUUUUCUGAAGCUUAUAGCAUAAUUAUUACAUUCAGAGGGAAUCUGCCUUUAGUUCGUUUGUUCUUGAUUUUUAAGGUGGUAGACAUGUUUUUAAUCAGGACAACAUUUGAAAGGUUUUAUUGUGCCUCUGACAGGUGUAUUUGAGGGUUAGAUCUUUUUUGAAUUCUGGUUAAUAAGUUUCAGCUUAAUGUAUUAUAGGCCUGAAUUGUUUUUCAGGUAUGUUUUUCUAUCUUCACAAAAAUGUUUAUUUUUUUUCUCUUAUUUGAUACCAGAAGAAUGGCAAGAAUGAAUUUUGAGCAGAGAUGGUCUUUUUCCCCUCACCAUUGUGUUAAUUAUAGCACAGACUUGUUAUGUUCUGAGUCAUUUAUCUUUUCUGGUGGGGGAAAAAAGCUCUUAAUAGUUGAAGAUCAGAAAAUGUUCCUGCGAAAUCCCUCAAAUAUACUGGAAUCUAUAAUUUACUCAAAAAUUAGUGUUUAUAAAUAAGUUGAGACCUCUAAGAACUUUUUCUUAUUCUUGUAUCUGCUUCAUUCAGUCUCAAAAACCCUACAAUGUUUUUUUUUUUACAAAUACCUUUUCUAAUGGGUUUUUUACUUAGAGGAUAGAACUUUGUAAGUGUUUAAUGUUUAUAUGUAAGGGAAGACAGUAAGAAUGAAGAAUGUUUUUUGAAGAAGUAAUAUUGCAUGAUAAUAAAAAAAAAACUAAACGUGAAUGAGAUAGGUUGUCCUGUAUUACACCGGUAACUACUACUUUGUUAGAGAAGUUUUAGUAAAAUAUCUUUGUUAGCUGAUUUUAGUGUACAUUGUUUUUAUAUGGUUUUCUAAUAUAUAUAUCUAUAUACAUAUCUCCUAUCAGAAUUGCAUUGUUUUAGGUCAAAGGCCAUAGCAAAAAUUUAGAGAACAAACAGAUACAAUAUAAUCUUAUAAAAUGGAUUUAAUAAGGCUGGGGAUAUUGCUAGAGCGCUGGGUCCAGUUCCCACUGUUGAGGGGGGAAAAAGAUUAUAAUCAUUUGAAACAGUUUAGUAUAUACACAGAAUUGAGAAAUAAUGCAUAAUGCUUAAACAAAAUUCACACAUCUGUAGAUUUACCUUGUGUUGAUUAUUCUCCUAGAGUGUUAGAUAAUUUGCUAUUAUAAAUGACACAUUGGUUUUUACUAGAAAAAUAAAAGUAGUGUAUUUUGAGAGCUUACUAUGUGCCAGUCACUGUGCUGAGCACAUAUAUAGAUACACCAUAACGCACCUUUAAUAAAUAUGUAAAAUCUGCAUAAAGUGUCAAAAUAGGAAUAUAUGCAUUUCAUUUUGAAGAAUGAACAAAUUAUGUCUAGCUGAACCAAGAUUGUGUUCAAAUAAAUAAUUGCUUAAAUCAGAUAUCAUAGCUUUCACCGCUUUUAAAAAGCUGCAUAGAAAUCAAGUUUUUUUUUUUUUUAAUAUGUGGAAAUGCUAACUACUAUUUUCAGUAUAUAAUAUUUAAUAUUUGAAGCUACAGUUUCCAGAAUAUUUGGAGCAAUAAAUGAAUAGUUUUAUUUUGCUGUUUAUGGGAAAUAUUAAAUUUCACUGUAAACAGUCACUACAAAUUGACUUGUUUCUGUAUGUUAUCUGCUGACAAUUUUAAACAGUACUUAAGGACCUAUUUAUCUUAGGUACUAGUGCUUAUUUAACCUAGUUACUAAAUUUUCACAUUGAUAUUUUUGUGGAUUAUACUACCUUGUAUGAAAUGGAAAUAUGCAGUAUGCUCAGUGCUUCUGUAAAAUGCAGUUAAUACUGGUAUUUAAAUAAAUAAUUGUCAAUUUUGACAUGAUCAAAUAGUAUUUUGUUGACUCAGCAAAGGUAACACUUUAUCCUUUUAAUACCCCAUUAUAUAUAAGAUUUUUUGAAAAUGGUGUUGGAAAUGAUCAAAUGUAAAGAAGUUGCAUGAAGGCUAGAGGGAGAUGUAACUAUUUGUAUUAACCGUUGCAUAAAUUUCAUACCAGGCUAUGACAGCUUACAUAUUGCUUCUGCCAAGUAUUGUUUGUAUAAUGAAUUAUCUUUUUAUUUAUGAAAAUAAAAGCAAUUUUACCUACAUUUUCAUUGGACUUUUUGCUUUUUUUUUUUUAAUUUUUUUUUUAGUUGUUGAUAGACCUUUUCUUACUCAUUUAUUUAUAUGUGGUGCUGAGAAUUGAUCGAAGUGCCUUACACAUGCAAGGCAGGUGCUCUACCACUGAGCCACAACCCCAGCCCAGAAUUUUUGCUUUUUGAUGAAUAUUUUUAUACUUCCUAAGCCAGUAGCAUUAUGCGAAAUGUUAAUAUUCACAUUAAUGAUUAAAAGGACAAAUACAGAGCUGGGGUACAGCUGAGUGGUAGAGCGCUUGAUUAGCAUGCACGAGGCUCUGGGUUCAACCCCCAGAAUUGCAGAAAAUUUUUAAAAAAAUGACAGAUUCAUUUGUUUUUUGCUUUGUGUGCUUACUAAUAAACCUUAAUCACUCCUUGACCUGUUUGGUUUAUACUUAUGUUUAUUGGUACCUAUCACCUCUUAAUCUCAAAGUAGGAUUUUGAUGGACCUGUUUAUUUUUGAUGCAAAAAUAUAAAGAAUGAUGCAGCAUUUGUGUACUGUGGUAAGCUAAAUUGGGGAGCUUAUCAUUGUUGUGCCAUAAUCUGUUGAAAAGCUUUUGUACUUUGCACACUUGAGGUGGCAUUUAAAUAAAACCACUUGGAAAUAUUUCCUUACUUUCCAGAGUUUAAUUC
rnacentral:lncRNA from 1 species